GGUAAAUACGUUCGCAGCAUGCAACGUUACAGAGGGGUUAAUGAUAAUGUAAGUUCGCGUCUGGCAACCGCAAAUCCGAGCGUCCUAACGCCGAUGAAAGGAAAUAAAGAAAAGAAAAAGAAAAUUCAAAAAGGAAAAUUCAACCUAUCCUGAUUAAAACAAAACGAUUAUUACGAUGUACAAUAUUAUUAUAUAAAAAAUGUAUAAAUAUCAAUUGCAGUUUCAACGAGUCAUCAUAAUAUCAAAAAAAAAAAAAAAAAACAAAA